rnacentral:rRNA from 1 species
UGAGUUUUAUUCUGGCUCAGACUGAACCUUAGGCGACUGUCUUAUACAUGCAAGUUAAUAAAUCAACUGUAAAGUUGCAAAAUAGCUUACGGGUGCGUACAAUGUAAGAAUCAACCUCUAGGAGGGGGAAUACCCCAUAGGCUGUAGAGUUAAAGAUUUAUCGCCUAGAGACGAGCUUACACCUGAUUAGCUAGAUGGUAAGGUAAAGGCUUACCAUGGCUCAUCAGUAACUGGUCUGAGAGGAUGUGCAGUCACAUUGGAACUGAGAUACGGUCCAGACGACUACGUGUUGGCAGCAGUAAUGAAUCUUCCGCAAUGAGGGAAACCUUGACGGAGCGAGUCGUCGUGAAGGAAUAUCGUCCACGGACGCUAAACUUCUUUUUUUAUAUUUAAGCCAUACGGCUUAUUAGUUAUUACGUGUAAAGAAUAAGUGCUUGCAAACUACCGUGCCAGCAGCAGCGGUUACACGGGAGAUACAAAGGUUAGUCGGAAUUAUUGGGCUAAAAAAGUUAUUAGACGGCGCUAUAAGUCUAUGGUGAAAUCUCAGCGCUCAACGUUGAAACAGCUUUAGAAACUAUAGUGCUUGAGUGCGAUAGGGGUAAAGGGAAUUCUCGGAGGAGCGGUGAAAUGCAUAGAUUUCGAGAGGAACACCGAAAGCGAAGGCACUUUACUGGGUCGCAACUGACGUUGUAUAACGAGAGCAUGAGGAGCAAAAAGGAUUAGAGACCCUUGUAGUUCAUGCCGUAAAUGAUGAAUACUGUAUCUCGGCUCAUGUCGGUAUGUAAGCGAUAGCAAAGUAUUCUGCCUGGGGAUUACGCUCGCAAGAGUAAAACUUAAAGAAAAAGGCGGGGAGAAAAACAAGCGGUGGAUGGUGUUGUUUAAUCUAAUGCUACGUAAAGAACCUUACCAAGACUUGACAUCCCUGCUAUGUAAAAAUAUAAUAGUUUUUGCUUAGUGCAGGUGACAGGUGAUGCAUGGUUGUCGUCAGAUCGUACUGUGAAGCGUCUGGUUAAGUCCAGUAACGAUCGCAACCUUCGCUUCUAUUUAUCUUAGAUAUAGAAGGACUGCCGACGUUUUAAGUCGGAGGAAGGAGGAGAUGACGUCAAAUAUU